AUUGAACGCUGGCGGCAGGCCUAACACAUGCAAGUCGAGCGGAUGAAGGGAGCUUGCUCCUGGAUUCAGCGGCGGACGGGCGAGUAAUGCCUAGGAAUCUGCCUGGUUGUGGGGGAUAACGUCCGGAAACGGGCGCUAAUACCGCAUACGCCCUUAGGGAGUAAGUGGGGGAUCUUCGGACCUCACGCUAUCAGAUGAGCCUAGGUCGGAUUAGCUAGUUGGUGGGGUAAAGGCCUACCAAGGCGACGAUCCGUAACUGGUCUGAGAGGAUGAUCAGUCACACUGGAACUGAGACACGGUCCAGACUCCUACGGGAGGCAGCAGUGGGGAAUAUUGGACAAUGGGCGAAAGCCUGAUCCAGCCAUACCGCGUGGGUGAAGAAGGUCUUCGGAUUGUAAAGCACUUUUGUUGGGAAAGAAGGGCAGUAGGUUAAUACCUUGCUGUUUUGACGUUACCAACAGAAUAAGCACCGGCUAACUUCGUG
rnacentral:rRNA from 1 species